CCCAGGACCCAGAGAUCCUGACCUGAGCCAAAGGCAGCUGCUUACCCGACUGAGCCACCCAGGUUUUUACUUAUCUGAUAGAGCACAAGCGGAGGGAGCAGCAGGGAGAGGAAGAAGCUGACUCCUCACUGAGCAGGGAGCCGGAUGCGGGGCUAGAUCCCAAGUGCCCAGGAUUGUGACCUGAGCCGAAGGCAGUUGGCCAACUGACUGAGCCACCCAGGUAUUCAGGUGAUUUGAUAACCAUCUAGCUGAAUUCCAGGGACCAGACACACUUAGGGUCCCCUAUUCCUCUGCAGUCUUAACUCACCCCUGUUGUGCCCAAGAUUGUGAAUCCGAGAAACCACCAAGGAGCCGACACCGAUGCAAGUACACGAGGGUUUAUUUACAAGCUCGAGCUUGGGUUCAAGUAUACUCCACACAGCAGAGCAGGGGCUUGGACCCCUAAGUGGGUUACAGCUGGGUUUUUUAUGGGCUGGUCUAGGGGAUUUUCAGAAGAGGUGGAGGAAUUUUUUUUUCUUUCCAAUAUGGGGAAAGGGUCGGGGAGUUUCUUAUGAUCUGAUAUGGGAUUUCCUGCCGAGGACAUUCUGCAGUUUUUCCUGUAAAGUUCAGCUCUUAUUCCCAGGGGCCCAAGAUGGCUGUACUUGUGCUAAUGCUAAACUUGAGGUGGAAUGGCCUUAAUUUUUCUCGGCCUCCACAACCCCCAACAGUAACCCCUAUCUCUGGUUUUGUAUGCUUCAGCAUUUCUCCCUAUCUCGGAUUUCUGUGAGCCUCGUCAUGCAGCCCCUACCCGUGUCUCCCUUCCUAGUCCUGCAUGUCAUGGAUGGACCUCCAGGGCAUGGUGCUAAAUUAAGUCAGUCAAAGACAAAUAUGGUAUGAUCUUACAUGUGGAAUCUAUUUUUUUUAGAGAUUUUAUUUAUUCAUCUUAGAGAAUGUGCACAAGUCAGGGAGAGAGGGAGAGGGAGAAGCAGGCUCCCU